rnacentral:rRNA from 1 species
AGUGAACGCUGGCGGUAGGCCUAACACAUGCAAGUCGAACGGCAGCACAGUAAGAGCUUGCUCUUACGGGUGGCGAGUGGCGGACGGGUGAGGAAUACAUCGGAAUCUACUUUUUCGUGGGGGAUAACGUAGGGAAACUUACGCUAAUACCGCAUACGACCUACGGGUGAAAGCAGUGGAUCUUCGGACCUUGCGCGAUUGAAUUAGCCGAUGUCGGAUUAGCUAGUUGGCGGGGUAAAGGCCCACCAAGGCGACGAUCCGUAGCUGGUCUGAGAGGAUGAUCAGCCACACUGGAACUGAGACACGGUCCAGACUCCUACGGGAGGCAGCAGUGGGGAAUAUUGGACAAAGGGCGCAAGCCUGAUCCAGCCAUACCGCGUGGGUGAAGAAGGCCUUCGGGUUGUAAAGCCCUUUUGUUGGGAAAGAAAAGCAGCAGGUUAAUACCCCGCUGUUCUGACGGUACCCAAAGAAUAAGCACCGGCUAACUUCGUG